rnacentral:snoRNA from 1 species
CCUCUCUCAAAGAGGCGACACAACGCAGCCGCGAUGAUCGAUGUGUGGCGUCGUUCUCAGAGCGUGAAGAAGCAUCAUCCGUUUAUCCAAAAACUGAUGAAGCUUGAUGACCGCCGGUGAUUUCGAUGAGGAAUCGCCGAUGAGGGCGACGCUUGCUGAGCGGU